AUUGAACGCUGGCGGCAUGCCUUACACAUGCAAGUCGAACGGUAACAGGUCUUCGGAUGCUGACGAGUGGCGAACGGGUGAGUAAUACAUCGGAACGUGCCUAGUAGUGGGGGAUAACUACUCGAAAGAGUGGCUAAUACCGCAUGAGAUCUACGGAUGAAAGCAGGGGAUCGCAAGACCUUGUGCUACUAGAGCGGCCGAUGGCAGAUUAGGUAGUUGGUGGGAUAAAAGCUUACCAAGCCGACGAUCUGUAGCUGGUCUGAGAGGACGAUUAGCCACACUGGGACUGAGACACGGCCCAGACUCCUACGGGAGGCAGCAGUGGGGAAUGUAGGACAAUGGGCGCAAGCCUGAUCCAGCAAUGCCGCGUGCAGGAUGAAGGCCUGCGGGUUGUAAACUGCUUUUGUACGGAACGAAAAGCCCUGGGUUAAGACCCUGGGGUCAUGACGGUACCGUAAGAAUAAGCACCGGCUAACUACGUGCCAGCAGCCGCGGUAACAC
rnacentral:rRNA from 1 species